rnacentral:rRNA from 1 species
AGUGAACGCUGGCGGCAGGCCUAACACAUGCAAGUCGAACGGCAGCACAGAGGAGCUUGCUCCUUGGGUGGCGAGUGGCGGACGGGUGAGGAAUACAUCGGAAUCUACUCUGUCGUGGGGGAUAACGUAGGGAAACUUACGCUAAUACCGCAUACGACCUACGGGUGAAAGCAGGGGACCUUCGGGCCUUGCGCGAUUGAAUGAGCCGAUGUCGGAUUAGCUAGGUGGCGGGGUAAAGGCCCACCAAGGCGACGAUCCGUAGCUGGUCUGGGAGGAUGAUCAGCCACACUGGAAGGGGGAGACGAGACAGACUCCUGCGGGAGGCAGCAGUAGGGAAUAUUGGACAAUGGGCGAAAGCCUGAUCCAGCCAUACCGCGUGGGUGAAGAAGGCCUUCGGGUUGUAAAGCCCUUUUGUUGGGAAAGUAAUCCAGCUGGCUAACACCCGGUUGGGAUGACGGUACCCAAAGAAUAAGCACCGGCUAACUUCGUGCCAGCCGCCGCAGUAA